CGGUAGGCCCACCACAUCCACUUAACCCAGCCCAUCGUCGGUGUGGUCCUCAUUCGAUCCCCAAUUCGCUCCAACAAACCCUAGCCGCACGCUGCAUCUCAAUCGACCCCCAAAUCGAACCAAGACACCCUAGCUGAUAAAGAUGGCAGAUGCAGUUGCUGAUCCGGUCGCCCUGCUAAUCGUGCCUUGCCCGGAUUGCGGCAGGAACGUCGUUACCUAUGUAGCUCGUCACUGCCAGAACGGCGUCGAGCGUUUCUACAAGUGCCGCAGUCACAUCCCAGCACGUGGUGGAUGCGACUUCUACAGGUGUCCGCAAGCUUACGCCGGGUCGCUUGCUGCUGCAGCAACUCCGUUGGCGCAAAUCGUGCUUGGACAGGAGCAAGCUGCCCAAGCGUUAGGAGUUGAAGUUCCGGGCCAGCAGAACGGACCGCCGGAGGGCACGCAGUCCACAUCUUCUGCCAGCGCCGUCGCAGGAUACAUGGUUGCCGCAUCUGUUUGUACGUGAGCAAGAACUGGAAGACACAUGGCUAACAGAGCCCCCGCUCGAACCAGGUGCAGGCAUCUCUGCUCGCACACGCCUUGAUGUUUUUGGCUUAUCGUCCUCAUUCUUCUGGCUCAUAUGGUCCACACGGCCACAAUGCCCCGGACGUCCGCCGGCGGCGACUGGCCAUGGCUUCGCCGGAGUCCACCGCUGGCGAUGGAAGCUAAGACCGGCUUCCGCUUCCAAUCACUCUCUCUGCCGAGCAGGAGGACGCCCGCAUCUGACCUGUCCGUCCCUGGAGUAAGCUCCGAACCCUCCUCCGUCCCUGGUGGCUGGAGGUAGAUGCUAGUUUUUGAGGUCGGCGAAGGUUGGAUUGUUGUACACUCUACAGACAGAAUGGAUCCAUUCAGUUCUGUUUCUGAAUGUGUUUUUUCCUAACUUCCUAUGCUUAUUGAGGAGAUAAUAACAGACCAAAGGUAAUGUAAGUUGCAGAGGUCUAUGCUUAUUAGCAGGGAUGCGAUUUUGCAGAGGAAAUUCGACUCCCCAUCUUUGUCUUGGAUGGCAAUGGUGAAUUAUGUAAGAAUAGGAAACCAAGUCUGCACUGGGUUUGGCAGCUUCUGGUGUUGGUCGAUGCAAUCAACAAUGGACACUGCUGGAAGGAAACCAAGAACAGGAAGUUUGUCUCUGCCUGCUCGAAUGAGCAAGCUAAGGGCUGCAAAUGUCCACAAGGCUUCAAGGGUGACGGCGUACACGGCUGCAAAGAAAUUCACCAUAUGUGUAAACUAGCACCGACAAACCUGGAACAAUGGCGGAAGUACUGAACUGUUCGAGCUUCUUAAUUCAGCAUCACCAAUUUUCAUGAAAAGGAUGAUGAAAGAGUAGAUGAUCAUCAGGAAGAAAACUUGGCAUUUUUCAGUACUGACACAAUUCAGGCAUGUUUGCAUGACAUUUAGGCAUGUUUGCAUGCUUUCAGUACUGUCACAGUUCACAUGAAAACUGACAGAAUGUAAAUUCACAUGGCACUCUGAAUGUAAAUUCAUUCAUGGACCAUUUAAUCAUUUCAUCCCAAGUUCACUUAAUAAUCUUUUUUUUGCAUGGAAGUUCACUUAAUAAUCUGACUUUCAAGUUAACCAAGUGAGAAUUUGACCCCAUCUGUCUUUUUGGUAAAUUCACAUGGAAGAGUAAUUCUUUUUGGUGCCAUAUUUGAACCUUCAGAUGGAACAGCUGAAGCUCGAAUUAUUGUUUAUCACAAGGGUUGUUCAAAACUGCAGUUAUCAUGCAAUUUGACUGAUUUUUGUUACUCCCAUAAAGCAAAAAUGUGAAAUACUGCAAGGGCCAAGGAAAACAGUGUCAUUGCUUGGGAAUGAUGUCAAGCUAGAGAGUGGUGUUUUUCUUUCACUUUCUAUAUGCUAUCCUUGAAUAAAAGUUUCCAAAAAUUAUAUCGAUUGUUUCCAAAUACUCCUCACUGAUUGUUUCCAAAACUAUAUUGAUUAUUUCCAAAAACUCUUCACUUGUUGAUUGUUUCCAAGAAUCUUUCCUUGUAUCCAAAAACUAUAUUGAUUAUUUCCAAAAACUCUUCACUGAUUGAUUGUUUCCAAGAAUCUUUCAUUGUAUCCAAAAACUAUAUUGAUAUUUUCCAAAAACUCCUUACUGAUUGAUUGUUAUCUAGGAUUACCUACAAGAGGCAGUCUGAGGAAGGAGCAAUGAUUGGAGUCACAGUAACAGCAGAGGCGAUGGUGGGGAAGGAUCGAUUCCGCCACUCAGGUGGCGAUUCCACCAGCACUGCUACUAGCUCGAUCCACGGAGUGGCGAUUCUGCCACUCAGGUGGUCGGCGGCUGCGGCGGGCAGUGGAACUGGAAGAUUAAUCGCGUAGGUAGGUGGCGGCGUAGAUGGGCGCCAAAAUCGCGCUAGUGGGCGGCGGCUACCCCCGGAGAUGCGCGGGCGACGGACGGGGACCUAUUUCAAACAGUUUUGGAAGUAAGAGUUCUUUUUUUGCUAAAAUGCCAGUACACUAGGUGCGCAACAAUCUUUUGUCGACGGAUGGGGGUAUUAAUAUUAUCUUGUGAAAUUCUGA